GUGCUCGCUUUGGUAGCAUAUGUACUAAAAUUUGAACAACACAGAAAAGAUCAGCAUGGCCCUUGUGCAAGGAUGACGUGCAAAUUUGUGAAGCAAAAAAAUAAAGU
ensembl:snRNA U6 U6 spliceosomal RNA